CGAUUCGAAAGUCCGAACAUCGAAAACAAAGUGGAAGCACGGAGCCCUUCGUGCUUCCAUAAGCAUCCUAGCCGCACUAUAUAUAUAUAUAUAUAUAUAGAGUCCGGAUACUGUACUCUUAUGAAUACGAUCGCCUUCGUACUUAUAAGUUGUUUUCGAUGAUAGAACUUUCGAAUCGACGAUCCAUACCGUUAAACAUUAUCUAAAGCAUUUAAAACCUCUAGAAAUCAAAUUUUAUAAUUUUUUGAUAUCAUUUACCUUACGAUCAAAAGCUCACAAAAUUGACAAUUUUUAACGGCCGGUAUGAGAUAUUUGCUAGUUUAACGGUGAAAAAGAAUUGGAAUAGGUUGAAUUUUUGAUAGAAAAUUCUAUUCGCUACCUAAAUAAAGAUCAAUAACUCCGAUCUUAAAUUGAAGGAUCCGAUCAUCCAUUUUUAAGAUGUCGUUCGAUUUUAACUGUUCAUUUUAUACCUACUUGAUGGACUUUAUAAUGAUUUCGAAAAAUUACGAAAUUUAUUUUUUGGAAGUUUCAAAUACUCUAGAUCAUUUUUAACGGUAUGGAUCGUCAAUUCGAAAAGCCCUAAAUCGAAAACAACUUAUGAGUACGAAGGGCUCUAUACUCAUAAGAGUAUAGUAGUCCAGUCUAACUAUAUAUAUAUAUAUAUAUAUAUAUAUAUAUAUAAUUGGACUAGAUUACUAUUAGUAGCAAAAUUCCAUUGUUGCUACUAGUUUUUUAGCCUUUGGAUCAACUCUUUUCAUUAUUUCUAACCAUUGGAUUAAAUACUAUAAAAAGAGCAUUUUACUAUUAAUAGUAUUCCAGCCUAAUUCUAUAAAAUUGAGCUAGAAUACUUUUAGAAGCACCAACUUUUUAGUGUUUCUAAGUUUUUAGCUCUUAGAUCUACUCUUUGAUUAUUAAUAGCCUUUGGAUCAAACAAUAUUUCACCUACCAUCACAUACCACCGUCAUUUUAACCUCAUAUCUCUCCAUCCAAUGGCUAAAAAUUCAAAAGCACUACCCUCAUGGUGUGUUUGAGAGUAUUCUACCUCAACUCUCUCUCUCUCUCUCUCUCUCUCUCUCUCUCUCUCUC
rnacentral:lncRNA from 1 species